rnacentral:rRNA from 1 species
GACGAACGCUGGCGGCGUGCCUAAUACAUGCAAGUCGAACGCAGUGGGGACGGAUGAGUCACCCGUGGGUAACCUCCCAUCAGAGGGGAUAACACUUGGAAACAGGUGCUAAACCGAUACUGAUGGAUGGACCCGCGUUGCAUUAGCUUGUUGUUGGGGUAACGGCUCACCAAGGCCACGAUGCAUAGCAGACCUGAGAGGUGGAAAGGCCACACGGGGACUGAGACACGGCCCAGAGUCCUACGGGAGGAAGCAGUAGGGAAUCUUCGACAAUGGGCGAAAGUCUGACCAAGCAACGCCGCGUGAGUGAAGAAGGUUUUCGGAUCGUAAAACUCUGUUGGUAGAGAAGCGGUAUCUAACCAGAAAGCCACGGCUAACUACGUGCCAGCAGCCGCGGUAAUAC